UAUCUUGGGUUAGUCUUACUUUAAUAUUAACUCUAAGAUUAAAUAAUUAACUAAAUAAUUAUACGAUUAAUUAGCCAAACGGUGCAUACUUUUAGGCAAGUCUAUAGAAUACAGACGUAGUUUUCUUGGGUUUAACUGUCUUUUAAUAUUAUAGAUAUUAUUUACCUACAUUUUAUGAAAAAUUUACAGAUUAGUGUUAGGCAACUUAAUCUAACACAUACAUUAAAGGAAGAAAGAGUUGAGGGUUAUAACUAUCACAGAUACAGUUGAAAUUGAAAUUUGAUAGAUUUAAGGUAAAAGCUCAGGGCAGUAGGCCCUGUUACGAAGCCUUACUUCUUCUCACAUUGAAGCUAGGAAUUCUGAAAUACUCUAGCUUCAUACGGAUGCAUACCAGAGAAGGAACUGGACGGGGCUUACAUAUUUGAACAGAAACAAGAUUCUAGUCUGUUAAUUUCGAUUCAAUGAUCAAUGAAGCUAGAAAACCUAGGGUUCUCUCAUAUCAAGUGAUCGAUAACUGCUUCAAUUCCCUGGAUAUCGAUCUUGGUUAAUGAGUCUUAAGGUUACAAUUUGAUCAUAUUUAAGGAGACUUACGGACUGUGAGGAAAUAUGGAAUUCAAGUUAUAAAAGAAUAACAGUUAACUAGAACUAUAUGACCAGGCAGCGGUCUGAACAGAAUCGACGGCCGAUUAGAAAUUCUUCGAGUCUAAAUAGUAGAAAUAUUUAGGCAUUUUGAUUUAGCUCAGAGACGGGGCGAUUAUCAAUGUGGGCCAGAAGUUUCACUUUCUGUCACGACUUGGGCAUUUGGAAAGCUCACAUGCAUAUUUAUAACACUUUCAUUGAGCUGCUUAUCCAAGCGAGAAUUGUAAAAGCAAAGAUACAUAUAUUCAGAAACUCCAUUAAAGAUGCAUAAAACAAAACUGAGCUCACAAAAAUCAAGACGACGAAAAAGAAGAACGAGCACACACAUAAAAGAUGCAUCUACUGCGAGAGUGGGGCUGCAUUAGGCACUCGACUAUAAUAACAAUAAUAAUGCUCCGAUAUUGGUAUAUCAAAGGGUCCCAAAAUGCAGAACGGAACAUUGGGCGAGCUAGAAGUGAAUGGGAAUGUUUGUGUCUGGGCCAAGAUCUUAACCAGAACAAAACAGAAAUUCGAAAAAAAAGCGAGGGAGGGGGAGAGCAAGAGAUGAUAUCUGGGCGGCGUGGCUGCUACUUAAGUGGAGUAAGUGGUUGCCUGGGCCACCACUCGAUGGGCUGGCUCUCCGGGUUGAGAUGGGAAGACGACUUCAUUAUGCAAAUAGAGGCACUUCAAUCAUUGGCCCAAAGUGGCGCUGAUAAGUAAUUAUGACAAGGCGCACAUGUUGCCCUCACUCGCUCCACCUCCUCCUCAUCCUCCUCCUCCUCCUUCACUGUUGUUCUGAUUUAGGUUGGCUGCGCGUCGAUAAUGAGUUGGCUUAUAUGGCUGUCAGUUAUCCGUUAGAAAUACAAAUUUGAAUACAAAAUCAACUGCUCCAGCUCCAGCCUCAUCAAUAGAAUCACAAAUCCAUGAACA